rnacentral:misc_RNA from 1 species
GAUGUCUGCUCCCAUUGGUGCCAUGCUGCCUGUGGGAUUGAGAAGAAUCUCAUCCGGCCUGGUCCGAGCCUCAAAGGUCCGUCAGGGACGACGGAGAUGCAGUUCCAUUGCAUUGCUUGUAAUCAUGCUUCAGAGAUGUUUGGAUUUGUAAAGGAUGUUUUUGUGUACUGUGCAAAGAACUGGGGUCUAGAAACCUUGAUGAAGGAGCUUGAGUGUGUGAAGAGGAUCUUCAUUGGAAGUGAUGACUAC